GGGGGCGUCCUGGAUUCGACUAUGGGAUUGGUGGCAGGGUAAGCAGGCCGUGGUUGAUCGAAUGGCCACGUUAAAAAUCGAUCAACUUAGUAGCUGCCAACAACAGCAACUAUUCUCCGGUGGCCCUGGCUGCUUAAUAGCGCCAGCGCUUCUAUAGCCGGAUGCGGCACCCGGACGCACGAUAGGGGUUAAACCGCAUCAAGAAUCGUGCUCAGCCACCGCCGGAUGCCCGGACCGGCGUGGUGAAAACUUACGGGAUGGCGUCUGGUGAGGCUGCGGCUGCCCACACCCAGGCGUGACGACGACAACGCCGCUAUGCCUGUAGAAAACCUUGCUUGACCACCUGAUAGGACGCGGGUUCGAUUCCCGCCGCCUCCACCA
rnacentral:tmRNA from 1 species